CUGCCACGAUCCACUGAGA
rnacentral:snRNA from 1 species